rnacentral:lncRNA from 1 species
GAUAAAUAAGCCAUGAAAAGAUAUUUUAAAAGAAAAGAAAUUAUCUCAUAAGAUUCAGAUCUCGAGCAACAACAACAAAAUUCUACUAAUGAUCAUACUCUACAAUCUUCUAAAUAAAGUCAUGUUGAAUUUGAUUUAAGUACUCUUCUGGCAAAUCCUGGAUUAAGGAAAAAAAUUUCUGAGUAUCAUCCUAAUGACAAGGAUGAAAUUAGAAGCACAUAUUUGCAAAAAAGGUCAUAUCAACCUUGCAAUCAUAAGUUUCUUCAAAGAAUUAUUUAUGGGGUUCCUCGUCGAUUUAAUUCUUCUUAGUUUAAUGACUAUAGUAGCUGGUUAAAGUAUAGCAUACAAAAAGAUGUUGCAUUUUGCUUGUGUUGUUAUUUAUUCAAAAAUGAAAUCGAGAAGCAAGGGGGAGGUGAUUCUUUUGUAACUAAAGGUUUCACAAGUUGGAACAAAAAAGAAAGAUUAAAUAUUGAUGUUGGCAAUUGCAAUAGUGCACAUAAUAAAACUUUAAUAGAAAUGCCAAGACUUCAUGAAGUAGAAACAACAUAUUGAUGUAGCACUUUGUAAGCAAACAAAACAAGUUAAAAGAGAUUAUAGAACUCGCUUAAUUGCAUCAAUGGAUUGCAUUAGGUUUCUCUUGUGCCAAGGGGUAGCUUUUUGAAGACACGAUGAAUUUGAAAAUCAACUUGAAAACUAGAUUGCAGACUUGAGUUUGGAUGAGGAAUUUGUUGAAGUAAACAGAAUUGGUGAUCUUGCAAGAAAAAUGGUUGUGACAUAUAGAAAUAUUGUGUAUCCUUUGGUUUAUUUACUAGUAAAACUUGCAUUGAUCUUACCAGUUGCAACAACAUCAGUUAAAAGAGCUUUUUUAGCAAUGAAAUUCAUAAUGCAUAGGCUACGCAAUCAAAUUAGUGACGAGCGGAUGAAUGAUUGCUUAGUGACAUAUAUUGAAAAAAAUGUAUUUGAUAGUGGUUCUACUAAUGUUAUCAAGCAACAUUUUCAAAAUAUAAAAAAUCAUUGUUGACAAUUAUAGUUCUUUUAGAUAUUUUUACUUUAAAGUAUUAAAUGAAUGUAUUGAAUUUGCAUUUUCUUUAAUUUAACAUUAAAACUUCUACUUUAUGAAUUUUAACAUAUUUAUUUUUUUAAUUAUUAUUUUAAUUAUAACAUCACUUAGAAAAAUUCCUAGGUCUACUCCUGUCCAAUUUUGCAACGUCCCUAUUGCAUUAGCUCUUUACCCGUAGAAAAAACGGACUCUUACACUAGUACGAGUCUAUUUCGACUCUUGUAUCUCUCAUGGAACUUCACAUCAAUGAAUAUUUGAGUUUGGUCUUAUACCAAAUCUCACAAACCGAAACUUAAGUCUAAUCUCGACCUUCUAUCUCUCAUGGGACUCCACAUUAAUGAAGAUCUAGGUCUAGUUUGAUACCAAAUCUCAUGGGUCGAAACUUAGGUCUAACCUCAUGCAGUCUUAAACACUAAAAAUAGAGUUUAAGUAAGUCUAUAAAUCACGGGCUUACGUUCUCAACUCAAAAAACAUGUUUAAUAAAUGAUGAAAUACCCAUGUUUAUAUUCUCAAGACUUACCACAUGUCACGACCCGGAACUCCCAUCGAGUUCGUAACAACCGUCUCGACAUCCCGAUAAACAUUCAUUACCCGAAAUGUCAAUCGAAACCUCGCAAGGCUUAACAUCAGUUUUUCUCGCUUCCCUAGUGAGUAUUAGUUGCUAAAAUCAUGUUUUGAGAGAUUAUAAAAUAUUUUCAAUUCAAAACAAUAGAAAAAUAAAUUUUCCUCACAGGGGCAUUUUGGUCAUUUUUCUUCAAAAAUCUCGAAAUCCGCUAAAAAUGUAGUAAGCGAGUACAAAACAUAGAAUUCAUAAUUAAAAUGAGUUUUAAAGUCUAAAAUUUUCAUUUAAAACGAAAUUGCGAUUAUUUGGAUAUAACAAAAAAAUAAAAGAAAUAUUAAGUAAAAUAUUCUAUUUUUUUAUAAAAUAAUAUUUAUAGAGUUAUACGUAAAUAAUUUUGUAGUGUAAAAGCUAAAUAAAUUCAUACAUACUGUAAUACAGUAAGUCAGAGUAUGUAAUUUAAUUUACAAUAACAAGAGAGCCCCCGAAUAAACAAAAGUAAAGAGGACUGUGAAUUUACAGUUUGGAAAAUACAGAUCUAACGGUAGUCCUCGAUGAGAUCAGCUAUCUACAGUUUAUACUGAACUCGAAAUGGAUGGAAAUGAGGGUGGUGAGAUUAUAAAAUCUCAAUGAGUAAACAGACAUCAUCAUAAACAUCUAGAGUUGAGUACAUGAAGACAAUAAAGUAAAUCAUCGUAAAUUGGGUAAUAGUAUUAGAAUACAUUUCAUUUAAAAUACAUGAAGAGACUUAUGAAUCUCAUAACAACUAGACUUGUGCCAUAAAUCCAUUCUCAAGGACACCUUAGCCGAGGCAUCCUAUCGAGACCGCCAAGGCUAUUAAAAUUCACACUUCACAUAAAUCAUGUUUUUGUUUUGAAAACAUAGCCGUUCCUUAGCUUUAGUUGAGUUCCCCCUCACGUGGUGGUUUGGUAAGAAGUGAACCCUAAGCUUUAUCCCAAGAGAUACCCUACGCGCAUCUCCGUUCGAGGUAAGAAUAUAAUGAGGUUUACCGUGCCCCUCUAAAAGGCUGGUCCACAAAAACCCCUACUGUAGUGAUUAAUUAAUAUAUAAUCCACCAUAUAAUAAAAUUUUAACGGCAUGACAGGGCUAAUGAAACACUACUCAGCUUGCAAGGGUAAAAUAAAACAAUUCAUACAAUUCAUAAAAUACAGCCCAACCAGUCAUGCCAACACAAUAACAAUAUAACAUAAGCCAUCAAUUUAAACAAUCAAAUUGCCACAAUUAACAGUCUCUGUGUACUCUAUUUUUUUCAAAAUCGUUAUUAGUUUCAAAACAAUUUAUAAUUUAAUUUCAUUAGAUCACCUUUAUUCAUAGAACAUGAAAAUUUACCUUUUAAAUCCAUUUUUUCAUAGAAUUCAUGAAAUCAUCUAAAAAUCACUUUAGAUAAUUAAAAUGACAGUAAGUUUACUCACAAUAUCUAGAAUGCAGACUUUUGAAGUACUCUGUCUAGUGGUCCUUGGAUGCAAUUUCCUUGCUUUUAUCGGAGGACUCACCACCUUGACAUAGUACAAAAUUGAAAAAUUCACCACAUUGAUACUAAAUUGAAAUUAAACUAAUUUAGGCUACUAAUGCAUGAUAUAGAAUGCAAAAAUGUCCGAAUAGUUGUUUAAAUACGGUAUUUGACCUAAUCCGCACUAUUCUCGAUCUAAUCGGCUAAAAUCUUUAAUUUAACUUCAAAUCGAUUCUUUUCACUUUCUACACUCUAAUUAUACCUAAAUUACCUCAGUGACUGUGAAUGAGGUUCAAUUUAUCGAUCCCGGAUCAAUAACAUGUCUAUAUGUUGAGCAAAAAUUCGUAUUUUCGCACCAAAAUUUCUCAUUUAAUUUUUAGCCUCACCAAACAUCAAAUAUCAUCAAAAUAUCAUGAAAUAUCAUCAAAUUCAGCUACAAUAUUCUCCCUAGGAAAUUUCGCCAAUGAUGGUAAUGGGGGAAAAUGAAUUCUUUUCUUGUUGUUUUGUUUCUAAAUAUGCUAAACUAACUUAAAACACUAACAUAACUUAAAAUCAAAUCAAUCUAACUUCAUUCUCUCUCCAUACCCAUUUGGGCAGCCAUGAAUUCACCAUGAAAACAUGAAAUCUAACCAUGGAAAAUAAGGAGAAAAGCAUGAGAAAGGUAGAUCACAAGUCAAAAUCAAGAAAUUUUGCCUUUGAUUGCUUGAUUCCUUGAAAUCCCAUACUUUUUCUUUAAUUUUCCCACAUAGGUUUCUUGUUUUUCUUUUCCUCUCUUUGUUCUUGCUAUGGCCGGC